UAAAGUGAAUGAGAAGCGGAACAUACAUUUCAAGUCAUAAUGAAGAUACAUCUUUUAAUCAGUCUUUGCUCUUAAUUUAUUCUCGUACUUCCUUCCAAUAACAAUUCAUAAUGCAGGUUGGUAUCUUGAAAAAUUAUAUCAUACAUUUCUCUUAUCAAUGGAGCAGGUUGCUAUUGAACAUUAUUCAUAAACAAAGAGCCAAAUAUGCUUUAAAGCUACUUAAAAAUAAGCCAUCAAGCACUGACGCAGACACUCAACAACAAAAAACAGACUUAUUAUAUUUGUUUCACAAAUAAGAAAGAAGAUAACAAUUUUAAAUUAACCAACAGGUUGAGUCUUAUCGUAAUACACACUAUCAGCUAUGAAUUAGCAUACCUUUAGAAGUCCUGAACUCAUUCACGGCCAAGUGCUUAACCUGCGAAAAUUAGAUCAAGCAGAGCUUGCAUUCCCUGAAGUUAACCAAAAAAAAAAAAAAAAACAUUACGAUGACUUAAAUUUUAACAGAAAACAAAAAAACAAAGCAAGAGUGAAUAGAGUAAUACCAAAGCAAAUUUAGGAUUGUUAGGUCCAAUUUGUGGACCAACUUCAGAACUUCUAAUAUUAGACUUAGGAGGAGGGAUUUGAAGAAGCUGUGGCGGCGGCGAAUACGCAUCAAGAUUCACACUGCUCCUCACAUUGAGGGCCAAAAGAGUGCGGAGGCGCUACAAAGCUGACGCGCGAUUCUUGUGCUGCGAUCGGUCUUCGGCGGCAUGCGAUAUGACGCCGGUAGGUACGUGCUUGAGACGUACGGCGGAUUCGCGCUUAUUGCGGUGCUGACCGCCUGGUCCCGACGAUUUGUACGCGUCCAUUUCGCUCAUCGUCGGUCAAUUCUAAGUAAUUCUUCGAAGAAGAAGAAGAAGAUGAUGAUGAAGAACAAUUGUCAUUGGUGCUGUAAUUGCAAGACAAGAACAAUGGCUGAUAAUUCCCGCGAUGCUUGUACGACGGAAAGUUUAUAUUUUUCCUUCCGAGUUGGGGAAUCCGAAGUAGGAAUUGAGCGGCCAACGCCCUCAUCAAUGUCAAUUUCCCUCACCGUGUGUGCGAUGAUGAAAGCAAAGCUUCGUACUAGUAAGACAUUCUUAUGGCAGGCCCAGCCCAAUCCAGCCUAGUCCAGCAAGUGAGCAAUGUUAUUGUUUUAUUAACUCGUGGUGGCUCCGUAUUAUUUGCAAAUUAUUUGCAAAAUACUCGUAUAAGGAGAGGGACAUAUUUUAUGAUGGAAUAUUUUUAAUAUAAAUGGUGAUGUAAAAAUGUGUCCGACUGUAAAGAUAUGUCUAAUUAAACAGUGUCAUAUGUAAUAAAAAUGUAUCUNNNNNUUAAUUAAUUAANNNNNAGUGGAUAUGUGCAAGGAGCGACUCUCCAGUUAUGGCCAUUAUUCCAGAAAGAGCACACACGAUAUAGUAUCGGGAAUCUGACUAUAAACGACCCUGUUUGCCAGUUUAUAAAAAAACUGGAUGGGAAGCCUAUCCUCGACCCAUAGAGGGCGUUCAAGCCGUUUCUGGACGUAAAACCAGAGGAAGAUGUGAGCCACAGUCGCAACUACGUGUAAAUCUCCUUUUACUUUCUGUUAUUUUAUUUCACUAUUGUUUUAUCGUUUGCAUUAUUGCCUUUAAUAAUUUUAUUACUGUUUGCUUUGUCUUUUUUACUGUUUCCUUUUUGACUUGCGAGCCACGUGCUUUACGCGUUAUUUGACACUGACAUGUUACCUCAUUCACAACUGUGAUCUACUGUCACCAAGAUUCUUAAACGUGAUUUAUCUUUUGUCAAGCACUCACAAAUUAUUUUUGAGAAGUAUCACAAUGGCAGCUACUCCCAAUAGACAAUUCAAGAACAUUUGUGUGCUUUCUGGAUUUACCUAUGGCAAACAUAAAGAGUUCGUGGAGGCAGCCAUAGAUCUUGGUCGAAGCAUAGCAGCGAGAAAAUUACAUUUGGUGUAUGGAGGAGGUAACCGAGGGUUAUCAAAAAUGGUCUCAGAAGCAGCUUUUAUCAGAGGAAGUCAAGUGUUAGGCAUCAUCCCAAGAGUCCUAAAACCAUUGGGCAGUUCGUCUGACUCAUCAACUGGAGAAGAGUUAGUCGUCUCAGGUAUGCAAGAAAGAAUAACUGAAAUGCUUAAUCAUGCUGAUGCUUUUAUUUUCCUUCCAGGAGAUCUUGCAACACUAGAGGCACUUAUGACACUAGCAUCUUGGGCCCAUCUGCACAUCCACCAGAAACCCAUCGGUUUGUUAAAUGUCAAUAACUUUUAUGAUGGCUUUAUCGCAUUUCUUAACCAUGCAAUAAAAAACUAUUUCAUUCCUUCUAAUGUGAAAAAACUCUUUAUUUGUGCUCACACUGCUAAUGAGCUACUUGAUAUGUUACAAGCUUAUAAACCGGAGCCAGACCCCUGGACCUUUGUGUUGGAGCGACCAAAUAAUGAUGGUAACAGUAGCCGCAGUAAGAAGUACAAAUUAGAUUUAACUCUCCGCCUGUAAAUAUUUUCUUCUGUGUUGCACCACCCAGGUGAUGUCUUCUAAACUCUACUUCUUUCCUUUAAAACAUUGAGGACAAUGUUUCGUUCUGGUUGGGGGGAGGGAAUAGUCGACAAUUGUGGAAUCUUGGUUAAGUUUUUACUGAUUUUUUGUUGUAGAAACUAACUGUUGCUAACGUUUUGUGUUGAAGAUGGCUGAAUAUGGAGUGUAGUUACUCUAGAAACGCAUCUUCAUCGUUUAAAAAAAAAAAAAAAAAAAAAAAANNNNNUUAAUUAAUUAANNNNNUAUGAUGCUACAUACAUGUCUUAUGAUAUUUGGAUACGAUUUAAGGUCUGAAAAAUGGUUUAAAUUCAAGGGUUAGAUCAAUUUAGCUAGGAAAGAAUGACCAAAGUUUUAAUUUAAAAUAAAAUUACCGAUCUAAAUUUGAGAACUCUACACAUAGAAUAAAGUACAAUUACGAUUUUAUUUGAGCUUCUUUAUUAAAGGUUUAUUUUAUGUCAUCCAAGUCUGAUGUCAACAAGAUUUUGUUGUUGGGGAAUAGUAAAAAGUUAUUAAGCUAUUAUAAGUAAAUUUUAUGAUUACAGUAAAAAAGUACUUGAUGUUAUUAUUAUAUUAUUUUUAAUAUUAGAUCCCAAGUGAAAAAUUCCUUCAUACCAAUUAUUUCAAUUAGGAAUGAUCAUACCUUUGACUCUGCCGGCGGAUUGAGGGCGUCGCUGCAACCAUGGAUCCUGAGAAACUUGAGUUCUGAAGAACCCACUUUGGCUAAUUCAUUAGCAAAAUAAUUGACAUCUUGCUCUUGCAAUUCACGUAAUUCAAGGUCUUCAAUUCCCUGCAGUUGCACGAUCAGCCAAUCCUUCAAGCAAAUCUUGUUGUUCAGCCUGAGUCUGAAUUCUCUACGCCAAAUGUUGGUGCUCUCCCAAUACCAAUCUCCAAUACGUAUUCUGUACUUUUCCAGCUUCUCCAAGAACAAGCCUCUGGGCAGAGUGUUGACAUCAUGGAUGUCUAAUUCUAAAGAGGUCAAGUUAGGCAAAUGCUUCAACUCCUCAACGCCAGCAUUCUUAACCCCUUCCACCUCCACCUCCCAUUUUUGAAAGCUUCUACAACUUAUGUAUAGUUCUUCUAAAUGGGAUAAAUUUGAUAAAACAUUUGGUGGGAUAACUUCUAGUUUCCUACAUUCUCUCAAAUCAAGCAAGGUUAGCCAAGUCAAUUGACCUACUUCUGUUGGCAGCUGCUUAAUGUCAGAGCCUCUUAAACAAAGGAUUUCUAGUUUCUUCAAGCCUCCUAUGACACUUAUAUCUACCAAUUUGCAAUAACACAAACUCAGUGCUCGAAGGUUUAACAGAAAACCAAGUGUUGAAGGCAGUGACAGUAGAUUCAUGUAAGUCAAGUUUAUAACUCUGACCUGUAUCAUCCCCUUGAAAAAAUUGUUUGGAAUGGUUAAUGAUGAAGAUUCCUUAUCCGCACAUAUAAAAAGAAGUUUGAGUUGAGGACAUUCCACCACUUCAGGAAGCACAUUAGUCUUGAUAUCUUGUAAGACGAUCGAAGUGUAACGCUUUACUGCACUUUCGUCUGACCACACCCUGAAACCAUCAACCUGCUCAUUUGUCGCUGUCAACGCAAUUUUCUCUGUAGAUGCAAUUGAUAUGGCAACAUCGCGAACAACAUCAUGCAUGGAAAANNNNNUUAAUUAAUUAANNNNNCCCUAACCACACAACACCCUACAAACCCUACCUAAACCUAACCCUAAACCCUAAACCCUAAACCCUAAACCCUACCCUAACCCCUAAACCCUAAACCCUAAACCCUAAACCCUAAACCCUAAACCCUAACAACCCUACCUUAACCCUAAACCAACCCUAAACCAACCCUAAACCCUAAACAAACCCUAAACCCUAAACCCUAAACCCUAAACCCUAAACCCCUAAUAACCCCUAAACCCUAAACCCUAAACCCUAAAACCCUAAACCCUAAAACCCUAAACCCUAAAACCCAAACUAAACCCUAAACCCUUAAACCCUAAACCCCUAACCCAACCCCUAAACCCUAAACCCAAAAACCCAAAACCCUAACAAAACCCUAAACCCUAUAAACCCUAAAACCCUAAACCCUAAAACCCUAAACCCUAAACCCUAAACCCUAAACCCUAAACCCUAAACCCUACAUAACCCUAAACCCUAAACCCUAAACCCUAAAACCCUAAACCCUAAACCCUAAACCCUAAACCCUACAACCCUAAACUAACCCUAACCUAUAAACAACCCUAACUAAACCCUCAACUACCAAAACCCUAAACUAACCUAAACCCUAAACCCUAAACCCUAAACCCUAAAACCCUAAACCCUAAACCCUACCUAAACCCUAAAACCCUAAACCCUAAACGCACCUAAACCCUAAACCCUAAACCCUAAACCCUAAACCCUAAACCCUAAACCCUAAACCCUAAAAACCCUAAACCCUUACCAAAACCCUUAAACCCUAAACCCUAACAAAACCCUAAAAACCCUAAACAACCCUAAACCCUAAACCCCCCUAACCCCUAACCUACCCUAACAACCCUAAACCACCCUAAACCCUAAACCCCCCUAACAACCCUAAACCUACCCUAACCCUAACCCUAAACCCUAAACUAACCCUACCUAACCCUAAACCCUAAACCCUAAACCCCUAAACAACCCUAAACCCUAAACCUAACCCCCUAAACCCUAAAACCCUAAACCCUAAAACCCUAAACCCUAAACCCUAAACCCUAAACCCUAAACCCUAAACCCUAAAAACCCUAAACCCUAUAAACCCAAAACCCUUAAACCCUAAACCCUAAACCCAAAACCCUAAACCCAAAACCCUAAAAACCCUAAAAACCCUAAACCCUAAACCCUAAACCCUAAACCCUAAAAGCCCUAAACCCUAAAACCCUAAACCCUAAACACCCUAUACCCUAAACCCUAUACCCUAAACCCUAAACCCUAAAAACCCUAAACCCUAAAAACCCUAAACCCUAAACCCUAAACCCUAAACCCUAAACCCUAAACCCUAAACCCUAAACCCUAAACCCUAAACCCUAAACCCUAAACCCUAAACCCUAAACCCUNNNNNUUAAUUAAUUAANNNNNAGACCCCAAGUUUAUGUCAUGAUAAUUGUGUGAUUGAUAAGAUAUUUUGGUUUUGGACUUUAUCUCAUGGAUUUAGAGUUCGAUUAUAUUUGGAAGUGGAAUAAUGCAUUCAUUUACAUAUGAUGUUUGAUGAAGUUCCCAUAAAAUUAAUUCAAUUAUAUAUGUUUAUGGUUCUAAGGAAGCGGGGCAAAAAUUUUAUCAGUGGGUUGAUUUCACUAGUUUAAGUUAGUAAAGCAAAGAAAUUGUCUUUAUGCACUUUAACUUUCCUCCAUUUAAGGUGAAAAAAUUAUUGAAGCUUUUAGAAGUGAAUUGUUCAUUUUGUUUGUGCACUUAUGCAGAUGGAUUUACUUUUGGCUGCUUAACCCUUCCUCACUUAUAUUUUUUCAGUUUAAAUUGCAGUGUUUUGCUGCUGUGCAACAGCACAAGAGGCUGUUUUAUUGUUGUUUCUGUAAAAACACAGCACCAGGAAGCGUCCAGGUAAUGUUUCGCUGCUGUUAUGCAGUAAAAACAACACCUGAAAGUUUCUAGGUGCUAUUUUUACUGCUGUUUACGCAGAAACACAGCACCUAAAAGUGUCUCUAGGUUCUGUUUAGCUGCUAUUAUGCAGCAAAAACAGCACCUGGAAACUUCCAAGUGCUGUUUUUAUUGCAUUUUAUGCAGAAACAAAGCACCUAGAAGCAUUCAAGGGUUGCUUUACUGUUGUUUUGUAUUUAAAAUUGCUGUUAGAAAUUUUGGGUGCUAUUUCUCUGAAAUUUUGCUAUUAACAGUGCAGCUUAAUAAUUUCAUAUGUCGUUUUGAACCUUCUUCAGUUCUUUUCUCUUAUGUCUAUACUUAAUCUUUUCCCCCCUGGUAAUAAGCAGGUACAAUUUUUGCAAGGUAAUAUCUAAGCAUGCUGUUAAUUCUUUGGUUGAGACGUAGUAUUCUAAACUUCAGGCCUUAAUUUUUUUAUUUCCAAGUGUAUAAUGGGUAGGUACUGGAUCUCUUAUGGAUGAUGUAGUUAAUGCUUUUUUAUUGUCUCUAUUUUGGCAAAUGUGUUGUCAUUUAUUAUCUGAACACAUGGUUGAUUAACUUACUUGAGGUAAGUCUAUUAAUUAAUAGUGAUAUGAUACUUUAAAGUCUUGUUUUACAACUUAAGUCACUAAAAUGAUUUAAUAUUUAUGAUUUAUAAUAUAUGAAUAUAUCUUAAUUUCUCUUUAUUCUUUGUAAGAAUGAUGUAGAUUGCUGAAGCUGGUGAGAUUCAUUUGCAAUUGAAGACUUGAUGAGAAAUUAGAUGUACUCACACAUGCCAAUCUUGUUGGUUGCUAGUGCAUUCACUAGUAGAAGUUUAAUGAUUGUUGGAGAUUUUUGUAGAGCUAUCUCUUUGUAUAUGAAACAUUUGCAUCAUUUUGNNN
rnacentral:lncRNA from 1 species